GACAGAGGUGGCUAGCGUUGUUCGGAUUCAUUGGGUGUAAAGGGUGCGUAGGCGGUUUGGAAAGUCGGAUGUGAAAGCCCACAGCUUAACUGUGGAAUUGCAUCUGAAACUCCCAGACUAGAGUGCGAGAGAGGUGAAGGGAAUUCCCGGUGUAAGGGUGAAAUCUGCAGAGAUCGGGAGGAACACCAGUAGCGAAGGCGCUUCACUGGCUCGUAACUGACGCUGAGUGCACGAAGGCGUGGGGAGCAAACGGG
rnacentral:rRNA from 1 species